rnacentral:misc_RNA from 1 species
AUGCAGCCCGACUUGAACGGAGCUCAUUUUUUGUGGUUGGAAAAGCAAGGGCAAAAAUAGCGGGAGUGGAAGGCGGAAAAGCU